AGAUGUGAGGAAGAUCUAGCUGUGACAUCAGUCACACCAUUGAUUGCCAGUGUUGAUUUGGCUGAUCUGGCUGGCUAGGCGGGUGUCCCUUUUCUCUGUUGACUACUCCUGUGUUCCUGUCUUUGCAAUCAGUCAAAGAGGGUGAACUUCCCCGACAGAGGAGAGUUGUUCUUGGAUCAGCAGUAUACGAGUAGCUGUGCUCUUCUGCUAGAAUAUCCAAACAAGCUCUCAAGAAUAGUGAGAGGCUGGGUGCAGUGACAUGCACCUAUAGUACCAGCUACU
rnacentral:snRNA from 1 species